UACGAAGGGGGCUAGCGUUGCUCGGAAUCACUGGGCGUAAAGCGCACGUAGGCGGAUUGUUAAGUCAGGGGUGAAAUCCUGGAGCUCAACUCCAGAACUGCCUUUGAUACUGAGGAGCUUGAGUCCGGGAGAGGUGAGUGGAACUGCGAGUGUAGAGGUGAAAUUCGUAGAUAUUCGCAAGAACACCAGUGGCGAAGGCGGCUCACUGGCCCGGUACUGACGCUGAGGUGCGAAAGCGUGGGGAGCAAACAGG
rnacentral:rRNA from 1 species